rnacentral:rRNA from 1 species
GUAUUACCGCGGCGGCUGGCACGGAGUUAGCCGGUGCUUCUUCUGUCGCUAACGUCAAAUAAUUACGCUAUUAACGCAACUACCUUCCUCACGACUGAAAGUGCUUUACAACCCGAAGGCCUUCUUCACACACGCGGCAUGGCUGCAUCAGGCUUGCGCCCAUUGUGCAAUAUUCCCCACUGCUGCCUCCCGUAGGAGUCUGGACCGUGUCUCAGUUCCAGUGUGGCUGAUCAUCCUCUCAGACCAGCUAGGGAUCGUCGCCUUGGUGAGCCAUUACCUCACCAACUAGCUAAUCCCACCUGGGCUAAUCUUGACGCGAGAGGUCCGAAGAUCCCCCUCUUUGGCCCGUAGGCAUUAUGCGGUAUUAGCCAUCGUUUCCAAUGGUUAUCCCCCACAUCAAGGCAUAUUCCCAGGCAUUACUCACCCGUCCGCCGCUCGUCAGCAAAGAAAGCAAGCUUUCUCUCUGUUACCGCUCGACUUGCAUGUGUUAGGCCUGCCGCCAGCGUUCAAUCUGAGCCAGGAUCAAACUCU